UACGAAGGGGGGCUAGCGUUGCUCGGAAUCACUGGGCGUAAAGGGUGCGUAGGCGGGUCUUUAAGUCAGGGGUGAAAUCCUGGAGCUCAACUCCAGAACUGCCUUUGAUACUGAGGAUCUUGAGUUCGGGAGAGGUGAGUGGAACUGCGAGUGUAGAGGUGAAAUUCGUAGAUAUUGCAAGAACACCAGUGGCGAAGGCGGCUCACUGGCCCGAUACUGACGCUGAGGCACGAAAGCGUGGGGAGCAAACAGGG
rnacentral:rRNA from 1 species